UUUUGGACAAUGGGCGAAAGCCUGAUCCAGCAAUGCCGCGUGCAGGAAGAAGGCCUUCGGGUUGUAAACUGCUUUUGUACGGAACGAAACGGCCUUUUCUAAUAAAGAGGGCUAAUGACGGUACCGUAAGAAUAAGCACCGGCUAACUACGUGCCAGCAGCCGCGGUAAUACGUAGGGUGCGAGCGUUAAUCGGAAUUACUGGGCGUAAAGCGUGCGCAGGCGGUUCUAUAAGACAGAUGUGAAAUCCCCGGGCUCAACCUGGGAAUGGCAUUUGUGACUGUAGAGCUAGAGUACGGUAGAGGGGGAUGGAAUUCCGCGUGUAGCAGUGAAAUGCGUAGAUAUGCGGAGUAACACCGAGGCGAAGGCAAUCCCCUGACCUGUACUGACGCUCAUGCACGAAA
rnacentral:rRNA from 1 species